UUAUUUACAUAUUCUCAAAAAGAAAAAUCAAUAACAAACGUCAUCUCCUCGGCUGUGAAGCGCUCCUGGCGUGCGCCCAUGGAUGUAUUAAGAGGGAAUCCACCAUUAUAAUAGCAAUCUGCUACGGUACAAGCGCGCCUGCUUUUAAAGGAAUAGUGAAAUAACGCUCUGAACCACACCUAUGAGUAAUGUAGCUACUUCAGACCAACCCAUUUUAGAUUUGCAUCGGCCGCAAGAGUCAUUUAUCCCGCCGGUGUAAUAGCAACAGCGUCCGGGAUCCGCCCACAAAGCUACUUGCAUUUUGCGUCUCAUACU